rnacentral:rRNA from 1 species
UACGUAGGUGACAAGCGUUAUCCGGAAUUACUGGGCGUAAAGCGCACGCAGGCGGCGUGGUAAGUCUGAUGUGAAAUCUCCCGGCUUAACUGGGAGGGGUCAUUGGAAACUGCCGAGCUUGAGGCGAUGAGAGGGGUGUAGAAUUCCCGGUGUAGUGGUGGAAUGCGUAGAUAUCGGGAGGAAUACCAGUGGCGAAGGCGGCUUCCUGGACCAAUACUGACGCUGAGGCGCGAAAGCGUGGGGAGCAAACAGG